UGGUGGAGUGAUUUGUCUGGUUAAUUCCGUUAACGAACGAGACCUCGACCUGCUAACUAGUUCGCCGAAUCAUUCGUGAUUCGCGCUGGACUUCUUAGAGGGACUAUCGGUGCGUAGCCGAUGGAAGUUCGAGGCAAUAACA
rnacentral:rRNA from 1 species